rnacentral:rRNA from 1 species
AGUGAACGCUGGCGGUAGGCCUAACACAUGCAAGUCGAACGGCAGCACAGUAAGAGCUUGCUCUUACGGGUGGCGAGUGGCGGACGGGUGAGGAAUACAUCGGAAUCUACUUUUUCGUGGGGGAUAACGUAGGGAAACUUACGCUAAUACCGCAUACGACCUACGGGUGAAAGCAGGGGAUCUUCGGACCUUGCGCGAUUGAAUGCGCCGAUGUCGGAUUAGCUAGUUGGCGGGGUAAAGGCCCACCAAGGCGACGAUCCGUAGCUGGUCUGAGAGGAUGGUCAGCCACACUGGAACUGAGACACGGUCCAGACUCCUACGGGAGGCAGCAGUGGGGAAUAUUGGACAAUGGGCGCAAGCCUGAUCCAGCCAUACCGCGUGGGUGAAGAAGGCCUUCGGGUUGUAAAGCCCUUUUGUUGGGAAAGAAAAGCAGCAGGUUAAUACCCCGCUGUUCUGACGGUACCCAAAGAAUAAGCACCGGCUAACUUCGUG